rnacentral:lncRNA from 1 species
UAGAAAAGCCAAGCUCGAGUUAUUGCUGCUGAAAAGAACAGUAGAGAAACCCAUAAAAAAGAACAUAGUGUUGCUGAAAAUUGCAAAGUUGCACUAAAUGCCUUACCUGUCGAACCGGUAUUGCUGAACAGAGAUAAGCCACUCACCUUAUUACCCUGCAGUUGCUGCAUUUACUGCUUUGGUGAUACACUUGCCAAUGGGAUUCGCCAGCCCCGCACUUGCUAUUGUGGUAAUGCACUUGCGAUCUCUAGAAGUGUUUACUUUACUUAAUUAUUAUGUGACUUAAACCAAAAUUGAUAACAAGUAGAAUGACAUGCUAAUUAACUGAAAGCAAGGAAAAAAAUAAAAACAAAGAAUGCGAGGAACCUGAUUACUCAAAUCAUGCAUGAGCUAACAUGGACACCUUGUAACUAGAUUUCAUCUAAUUCAUUAACUACUACACUACUGAGUUACAAUUUGCAAGUACUUGGUUCUGCAGCCGAUUGCACUUAUCAUUCAACAAACUAGACUAGAUAAGUAUGGAACGAUUCAACAACUGAUAAACUUCGAGCUACACUAAAAUAGUUCAUGAUACAAAGCUAAAAUUGCCCAUUUAAGAGCAUAUUAUUGCCUAACAAAGGACAAGAUGUGCUAAAAUAGUACAUGAAUACAUGAUACAGAGCAAAAAUUGCCCAUUUAGAAACUUAUUAUUGCCUAACAAAGGACACUUAAGCUGCCUAACAAAAAUUGCCCAUUUACCAGCAGAAGUUGAGGCAUCUGCAGCUAACUAGUGCAACAUCAACUUAUGUCUGUGUGUUGAUGGUUCUAAACAAUUUCUAAAUGCCUACACUCAUGAACCUAGAGUGACAAUACAUAAGUCAGGGGAUCUUCCCUUUCACUUAUCUUUGUAGUAUGAUACAUCGGUUUCUUCUCAUUCCAAAUUAAGAAUAACAUUUCCACUUCACUUAAAAAACACAAAAGAUAAGUUCCAGUUCAGUGAUCUAGCUAGUACAACACAUACUUGCAUCUAUGAUCUCUAUUUGGAGUCAAACAAAAAAAUAGCCUGCUAGUAAUCAGAUCACGAAGCCGUGCUUGCCUCAUUUCGGCCUGAACUUCCCCAUGACAUACCCUCUGCUGUCUCUGCGUACCAAAGAAAGCAAAUCAGUGUAUCAGUUCACGUGAAAUCACAGUCACGAUGCCGCAAACCUCCUAUGGCACUAGCAAAAUACCUUGACAGCGUCAUCCGUGGCUCACUCCUAGGCACAUGCAGUGGAGGCCACCGGUUGGCUAGGUCCAGCCUGAGGUGCAUCCGCGCAGGAGGGAGCCCCAACCCCUAGGUGCAGGCAGUGGACGCUGGAGGGCCGCAGAC